GUUUGUGGGUUACUAGUAAGGAUGAUGUCGGGUUCAAGAUUAGGGUUAAAAUAGCUAAUUUUUAAUGAUGAUUGUUAAUCGUGAAUUAUGAGUUGACUAGUACGGAAGAAAUCGUUUGUGUUGUGUGCAUAUAUGAUCUUGUGGUUGUAUAUGUGUUUUAUUAUGUGAGUAGGGAAUGAAAAGAUAUGAUUCUAGUUAAUACUUUGCGUUGUUGGAAAUUGACGAGUAAAGUUAAAAUAGAUUACGAAUGUGAAAAUGAAUGCAAUGUUAGAAUGUGUGUUUAUUCUAAUGAAGUAGUAAUAUUGAUGGUAUGAAAGUUUAGGAUCAUGUUUAAAGGGGAAAGCAUGGAAGGCAAACGGAAAAGGGAUGAUGAAGCAUGUACGAAACGGACACUCGAGAUAUGUAGGUGCGUAUGAUCAGACGUAUGAAUAUAUGAAUGCACGAAGUAGGAUUUAUCGUCUAUGAAAAGAAUGGGACAAGUAUGCAUGUAUACAUGGUUUCAAUACGUUUGAGUAUGGACGUUACUAAUGAUGUGCUUGAAAUUGAAAUGUAAUGCAGGAAUGAGAACGUCAGACUCUUGUAGAAUUGAAGCCGAACCUUGAAGCCGAACUCGGAACAAAGGAAUCCGAGAUGAUAGUCGAAUGAAUCAAAGUUUAUGUUGUCGAAUGUUAUAUGAUUUUUAAUUUGUAUCAGAUUAUUGUUGUAUGACGUUGUCAAUGACUAAUGGUUACGUUGUAUGUGGUGUCCACAGGUACUACACGGAUUUCUUCUACCACUAUCGAAGAUAAGCGGGCAUAGAUCGAGUCGAAUGACAAGGGUUGUACGGAAAGAACGGUUACGUGGUCUUAAUUUUGUAACGCAUUAAUUUAAAAUUAAAAAGGGAAGUGAAUUUUGUAAGCUUCUUCUUGAAUGUGUGUAUUGUUAUAAGACCGUAAAGAAAUUUUUAAAGCUA